rnacentral:rRNA from 1 species
UACGUAGGUCUCAAGCGUUAUCCGGAUUUACUGGGCGUAAAGCGUCCGUCGCCGGCUUUGUAAGUCCGCUUUCAAAACCCGAAGCUCAACUUCGGUCAGGGAGUAGAUACCGCAAAGCUAGAGAAAAAUAGAGGCAUGUAGAAUUUCCGGUGGAGGGGUGAAAUCCGUUGAUAUCGGAAGGAAUACCAAAAGCGAAGGCAGCAUGCUAUAUUUUUUCUGACGGUCAGGGACGAAAGUAUGGGGAGCGAACGGG